GAACCCUCUCAGGCAAGGACAGACAGUGUGGUUGGGGAUACUGCUGAAGCAAUGGAGAAGUCAUCACAACAGCCCUAUGAGAAGAUGAGAAUUAUCUUCCCAUCUCACCUGUGGAAAAGCUGAGGGUUCAGAGACCAAUGGAUUGAUCCAACAUCACAUAACAGGUAAGAUUUGGCAAUGUGCAGAAGAAAAUAGAGACUGAUUGGCAUAGCCUUUGGAGACAGGGAAUGUCAUGAAGACCAAAGGAGGUGUGGAAAACCUUGAGCCCAAUGCCUGACAGACUGAUUAUACAAGGACCCAGAGGAGAGUGAAAAAUGAAGAGGAAAGGAUGGGAGAAUUGUUGGAUCAAUUAAUAUAACAGAAGCAGCUCCUUCUGAUUGAACGACUGUUCAACAAGGGACAUUUACUAAGCUCCUACUAGAAGCCAGCUACCAUUCUAACUCCUGAACAUAGUUCCUAACUACUCUGUUGGUUCACUGGUUUGUUUUGUCUCUGAGCCCUGUGACCAGCUAGAGGCAUGGCAAUUGGUGGUGACCGUGCCUAAGAUAAAACUAUACAUGUGAAAAGUACUCAAAUGUUGGUUGGAAUGAAUAAAUAUAAAGAAGCACCCUUACUUCAUUAACUGCAAUAUAGGAUCCUGCUGGUGACCAUUUCUCUUCAUUUGACAUUCAGUAAGUGACAUUAAUUAAAAUUUUCAUAAGUUUAAGAAAUUUGACAUGUAGUGUUUUUGGAAAGUUGGAAACUACCAGCCAUAGGAAAGUCUAGACAUGGUCACUAACAAUAGUUAAUUAUACUCCCAAUGAAUUGGAUUAGGGUAUUGUUUUUCUCAUUCCAGAGAUUACAAAAUACAGAAAGUAUGCAUAAGAGUUUGCAAUAAAGAAUUUGGGUUAAUUUUACUUUUAUUGUACAUAUGUUCUAUUUAACUGUCAUGCAUUUGUUUACAUUUUCCUUGAAAUUAUUUUUUUAUUGGGAGGGAGAAAGAGAGAGAAAGAGAGAGAGACAUCAAUGUGAAAGGGAUACAUCGAGUGGCUGCUUCCUCCCGCAUGGGCCCUGACCCAAUCGGUGCCGGGGACAAACUGCAACCAAGGUACAUGCCCUUAGCAGGAACCGAACCCCGGUCUCUCUGGACUGCAGGCUGAUGCUCUAACCUCUGAGCCAAACUGGCCAGGGCCAAAGAUGCUCAUUUUUGAAUGAAUGGAUGGCUGAUGACAGCAAGGGGUAGAGAUGGGGGCCAAUGUCUGCAGAAAGACGGCAUCAGAUCAGGGACUUGGAAUUAUUCUUCAGUUUCAUAAAUAAGACGACUCUGCUUUCCACUAUGAUUUAAAUCUAUUCUAGGGUAUAAAUCAUAUAACUUAUAUCAGUAUUUCUCAGACUUUAGGAUACUUCAUAAUUAUCUGAGAAGUUUGUUUUAAAAAUGUAGAAAAUCCCCAGUCCAACCUUCAGAGAUUAUGAUUUGAUAAGUAUCCAGGCAUUUGCCAGUUUUGACUAACCAGUAUUUAACUCUACUUCCCGUUUUCAUCCUAAUUUCCUUUUAGAGGAAUCGACCUUUGCAUCCAGUAUUAGGAAGAGUCAUCUGGGCCUGGGCCUUAGGCCCCAUCAUUUGAAGGUUCUUUUUGAGAACUUUUUUAGUCUAGAGUUGUGAUGCAAUGACAAGUUAGAACUAGGGAUAGUUAUAGUGUCAUUCCUAUACUAUGUCUUUGUGGUUUCACUAAAGCUUUCUUGGUUCUAAUCUCUGGUCAAUUCUGUGAACCCCUGAUAUCCUUCCAGGCAGUUCCUUCUUUGUCUAAGGUAGGCCAAGUCGGUUUCUGUUGCUUGCAACAGGGAGUUAGUUAUAACCAAUAUAGAAGAUCUAUACUAGUGAGA